rnacentral:rRNA from 1 species
CUAGUAACUGCGAGUGAAGCGGGAAAAGCUCAAAUUUAAAAUCUGACAGUUUUUGCUGUCCGAAUUGUAGCCCAGAGAAGUGUUGUCCGCGCCGGACCGUGUAUAAGUCUCCUGGGAUGGAGCAUCAUAGAGGGUGAGAAUCCUGUGUUUGACAUGGACUACCGGUGCAUUGUGGCAUGCUCUCAAAGAGUUGAGUUGUUUGGGAAUGCAGCUCUAAAAGGGUGGUAAAUUCCAUCUAAAGCUAAAUAUUGGCGAGAGACCGAUAGCGAACAAGUACCGUGAGGGAAAGAUGAAAAGAACUUUGGAAAGAGAGUUAAACAGUAUGUGAAAUUGUUGAAAGGGAAACGCUUGAAGUCAGUCGCAUUGGUUGGGGAUCAGCUUAGUUUAUUUGCUGAGUGUAAUUCCUAAUGGAUGGGUCAGCAUGAGUUUUGAUCGCUGGAGAAAGGCUAUUGGGAAUGUGGCACCUUUGGGUGUGUUAUAGCUCAUGGUUGUAUGCAGCGGUUAGGACUGAGGAAGGCAGCGCGCCGCAAGGACGGGUUUCGACCACGUUCGCGCUUAGGAUGUUGGCAUAAUGGCUUUAAGCGACCCGUCUUGAAACACGGACCAAGGAGUCUAACAUGCGUGCGAGUGUUUGGGUGGAAAACCCUCUCGCGUAAUGAAAGUGAAAGUUAAGAACCCUG